UUACCUGGUCUUGACAUCCCGGAGACCCUUAGGAAACUAGGGGGUGCUUCCAUCUGGAAGAAUCUGGAGACAGGUGCUGCAUGGCUGUCGUCAGCUCGUGUCGUGAGAUGUUGGGUUAAGUCCCGCAACGAGCGCAACCCUUGCCUUUAGUUGCCAGCAGUUCGGCUGGGCACUCUAAAGGGACUGCCGGUGUUAAACCGGAGGAAGGUGGGGAUGACGUCAAGUCCUCAUGGCCUUUAUGACCAGGGCUACACACGUACUACAAUGGCCGAUACAAAGGGCAGCGACACUGCGAGGUGAAGCCAAUCCCGUAAAAUCGGUCUCAGUCCGGAUUGGAGUCUGCAACUCGACUCCAUGAAGUUGGAAUCGCUAGUAAUCGUGGAUCAGCAUGCCACGGUGAAUACGUUCCCGGGCCUU
rnacentral:rRNA from 1 species